rnacentral:rRNA from 1 species
GAUCCUGGCUCAGAUUGAACGCUGGCGGCAGGCUUAACACAUGCAAGUCGAACGGUAACAUAAAGAAGCUUGCUUCUUUGAUGACGAGUGGCGGACGGGUGAGUAAUGCUUGGGAAUCUAGCUUAUGGAGGGGGAUAACUACGGGAAACUGUAGCUAAUACCGCGUAAUAUCGAAAGAUUAAAGUGUGGGACCUUCGGGCCACAUGCCAUAGGAUGAGCCCAAGUGGGAUUAGGUAGUUGGUGAAGGG